CGAGAAUAAUUCACAAUGGGGGCAACCCUGAUGGUGCAACGCCGCGUGGAGGAUGACGGUCUUCGGAUUGUAAACUCCUGUCAUCCGGGAGUAAGACCUGGCUGUGAAUAGCAGACAGGGUUGAUAGUACCGGAAGAGGAAGGGACGGCUAACUUCGUGCCAGCAGCCGCGGUAAUACGAAGGUCCCGAGCGUUGUUCGGAAUCACUGGGCGUAAAGGGAGCGUAGGCGGCGUGGUAAGUCAGAUGUGAAAUCCCGGGGCUCAACCCCGGAACUGCAUCCGAUACUGCCGUGCUAGAGGAUUGGAGAGGUAGCUGGAAUUCUUGGUGUAGCAGUGAAAUGCGUGGAGAUCAAGAGGAACACUCGUGGCGAAAGCGAGCUACUGGACAAUAUCUGACGCUGAGGCUCGAAGGCCAGGGUAGCGAA
rnacentral:rRNA from 1 species